GCCGCCCUUCCUCGCCCCGGGAGGAGCCUCCCUGCCCUGAGCCGGCUGUCCCACACAGCCCAGCUGGAAGCUCCAGUGGUCAGGCCAGGCAGGCGGCCUCCGGAGGCACCUUGGGGCGGCCGGAGACGGGGAGGAUCCACCUCUGGGCUGAGCAGGCCGCGAUGGGGGCCGUGGCCAAGCCUGGGCCCGGGCCGUAUCAGACUCUGGCACAAGAGAAGUGCAGGGAGCCCCCACCAGCCAGAAGAGCAGCGGCCACCGCUGUCCAGGGGAUGACAGAGCCCCCUUCUCCAGGUGAGCCCCACAGCAAGCUUCAGAUGCUCUGGGCACGAGCAGGGCGUCCGGCUGGGCCUGGGAACGUUCUACACACACAUGCACUUAGGUGACCGGGGCCCAGGCUCCGCUGAGGGGGGCAGGCCCCGCACCUCGCACAUGAUGAGGGCCGUGAUAAUCAUGGUGUGGACGUGACCAAAAUAAUACUAGAGGCCCCGGGUGGGGCGUGCCUGCACCUGGUUCCCGCCACCUCCCUUGGUGGGCACUGCUGCCACGAGGGACUGCUUUAGCCCUGGUGACAAAUGCAGAAAUGGAGCCCAGGAGUCCCCGGUGGUGGCCACAGGGCUAGAGGGACUCCCUGGGGGCCUACGGGACACCCAGGGGUGGUCCUGACUGUCCUGAACGAAGGGGGGUG